CUCAAAUUCGACUAACUUAUACAAGUUUCUACGUAAGAAUUAUAAGAAAAAUAAUUAUGGCAAUCAAGAUUUUUAAAUAUUACUAUUUACUUUAUAGUUUAAUUUUUAUAAAACAUUUUAUAGCUUGGAAUCAAGUUAUAAAAAAAAGACCAUUGCAUUUUUAUUUAAACAAGUUUUUAUUUAAAAGUUUACAUACUUGGUGUCUCUGGUGUAAAAAAAAAAAAAUGUUAGAUACAUACAAUUUAUGGCUAUUAAAGAAAUAAACAAAUCAGUCCAUAUCAAAGAAUUUUAUAAUCUUGCAAUUAUUAGAAACAAGCAAAAUUGUGGUAUUAUCGUUACAUCAAUCGGUAUGUUUCUUUCCUUUUUAUUAUUUUCCUCUUCCUUUUCUUUUUUCCCUUAUUUUUUAAUAAAUUCUCAACACGCGACACUUUAUCACGCGUCGAAACCACAUAUAUUUCAAGUUGUAGCGUGACGCACAGAGAAACGCUUCUACACCCUUCGUGAUAAAUCACCAGAGGAAAAGAGACAGAAAGAGAGGCCACCGUCAUAAAUUCUCGAAUCUCUCCCGCCUUUUAAAUGUUUAAAAAAAAAAAUGAAAGAUUUCCAGGAUUCUCGUUUAACUUCGGAUCAUUCGACCAUCUUAAAACUCUCGACACGAUAAGAGAUUCUAUUGAGAUAUUUUUAGUUUCGAAGAUGAUUAUCCAUGAUUUAACAAAAGUUACGUAUAAUAAUUGGAAUUGAAAACGUCAAGAUAAUGAGAAUCAAAUCAAGAAUGUUUUCUGAAUUCAUCGUAAUCGAAACACAAAAUAAACGUUAUUUUAAUCGGAUACUUUCAUCGCAUAACGAAAGGAAAAUGGCGAAAUUUAUAAAUUUAUCGUUGAAAAGAAGAGUGGAUGGAUCAAUCAUGAACCAACGAAUCAAGUAAACCAGGAAAAUUCCUGGUUAGGAAAACAAAAGUUAGGGAUCGUGGAAAAGUUUGAUAACUCUAUAUCUUUCUUAUUCUUCCCUUUCUUUUCAGCUGAAAUGGUUCGAUGCAAAAUCUAUAGCCGGUAAAAGGCGAUCGUGAAGCAAUAUCAGACAUGGAAGAAACGUUGAAUUAUUCAACCCGAAGGCGAGGAAAAUGUUUUGAUUAUGCCAGGCCACGGACGCACGCGCACGUGUAUACGUGCACGGAUUCUCUGCGCGGUGGCCACGGCCGAAAUUAGUUGGAUAUUCGAAUAAUUAACGAAAAUAGCAGAGACGAGAUGGUUUUGCGGGUUUCUAUUAUAAAAGUGAAUACGUAGAGUUAUGUCGAGUCGAAUGAACGAUAAUGUUUGCAAAUUGGAUUUGUACACAGAGAGAUUAAUCUCUAAUAUGAAAUUAGAUUUUUGAAAAAGGAAAGAAAAAGUUUCGAAAUGUUGAAAUUCAAUUUUUUUUUUUUUUUAGACGAAGCCAGAUUUCUGAAACAAAAACGAAAGUGAUGAAAAUCCUUGAGAUUGAAGAAAGAAAAUUUUAUAGUAGUUGCUUCAAAUCUUUACUGAAUAGAGAGUUCUGAAAAUGAAUGGAGUUUGAUAUAAGAAAAGAAAGCGCCGAUUAUUAGAAACGAUUAAAGAAGAUUGUACUCGAAUAAUGAACGUUUCAAAAUUUCAACUUUGAAUAUCUAUUAAAAGCAAAACUUCAAAAAACUAAAAUUUAUCCAUAGAAAAAAAACUGAAA